GACGAACGCUGGCGGCGUGCUUAACACAUGCAAGUCGAACGGAAAGGCCCUGCUUUUGUGGUGUGCUCGAGUGGCGAACGGGUGAGUAACACGUGAGUAACCUGCCCUUGACUUUGGGAUAACUUCAGGAAACUGGGGCUAAUACCGGAUAGGAGCUCCCGCUGCAUGGUGGGGGGUGGAAAGUCUCGGCGGUUGGGGAUGGACUCGCGGCUUAUCAGCUUGCUGGUGGGGUAGUGGCUUACCAAGGCUUUGACGGGUAGCCGGCCUGAGAGGGUGAACGGCCACAUUGCGACUGAGAUACGGCCCAGACGCCUACUGGAGGCAGCAGUGGAGAAUGUUGCACCAGGGGCGGAAGCCUGAUGCAGCAACGCCGCGUGCGGGAUGACGGCCUUCGGGUUGUAAACCGCUUUCGCCUGUGACGAAGCGUGAGUGACGGUAAAGUGUAAAGAAGCACCGGCUAACUACG
rnacentral:rRNA from 1 species